ACGGUCUGGCGAAAGGCUCCUGUGUUGCUGAACCUGCCCAGCGGCGGGUGCGGCCCGUACCAGGCAGCCCUGCCGUGACCUAGAGUAAGUGCCCGGGACAGUGUCUCCUGGGCUUUGAACUUGCAGUAACAGGUGUGAACAUGCUAGCAGCAGUUUGAUGAUCAUGUAUGAUACUGCAAACAAGA